rnacentral:rRNA from 1 species
GAAUGCCUACGGGAGGCAGCAGUAGGGAAUAUUGCUCAAUGGGGGAAACCCUGAAGCAGCAACGCCGCGUGGAGGAUGAAGGUUUUCGGAUUGUAAACUCCUUUUGAUAGAGAAGAUAAUGACGGUAUCUAACGAAUAAGCACCGGCUAACUCCGUGCCAGCAGCCGCGGUAAUACGGAGGGUGCAAGCGUUACUCGGAAUCACUGGGCGUAAAGAGGGCGUAGGCGGGAUAGCAAGUCACAUGUGAAAUCCUAUAGCUUAACCAUAGAACUGCAUUUGAAACUGUUAUUCUAGAGUAGAGAAGG